rnacentral:rRNA from 1 species
UGCCAGCAGCCGCGGUAAUACUGAAGGUGCAAGCGUUAAUCGGAAUCACUGGGCGUAAAGAGCAUGUAGGCGGAUUGGACAGUUGAGGGUGAAAUCCCAGAGCUCAACUCUGGAACUGCCUUCAAUACUUCCAGUCUAGAGUCCGUAAGGGGGUGGUGGAAUUCCGAGUGUAGAGGUGAAAUUCGUAGAUAUUCGGAGAAACACCAGUGGCGAAGGCGGCUUACUGGCUCGAUACUGACGCUGAGGUGCGAAAGUGUGGGGAGCAAACAGGAUUAGAUA